rnacentral:rRNA from 1 species
AUUGAACGCUGGCGGCAGGCCUAACACAUGCAAGUCGAGCGGAUGAAGGGAGCUUGCUCCUGGAUUCAGCGGCGGACGGGUGAGUAAUGCCUAGGAAUCUGCCUGGUAGUGGGGGAUAACGUCCGGAAACGGGCGCUAAUACCGCAUACGUCCUGAGGGAGAAAGUGGGGGAUCUUCGGACCUCACGCUAUCAGAUGAGCCUAGGUCGGAUUAGCUAGUUGGUGGGGUAAAGGCCUACCAAGGCGACGAUCCGUAACUGGUCUGAGAGGAUGAUCAGUCAAAAUGGAACUGAGACACGGUCCAGACUCCUACGGGAGGCAGCAGUGGGGAAUAUUGGACAAUGGGCGAAAGCCUGAUCCAGCCCUGCCGCGUGUGUGAAGAAGGUCUUCGGAUUGUAAAGCACUUUAAGUUGGGAGGAAGGGCAGUAAGUUAAUACCUUGCUUUUUUGACGUUACCCACAGAAUAAGCCCCGGCUAACUUCGCG